UGGAAUGGUUAGAAGCCUAGAUACUUCAAGC
rnacentral:piRNA from 1 species